rnacentral:rRNA from 1 species
GUGCCAGCCGCCGCGGUAAUACGGAGGGUGCAAGCGUUAAUCGGAAUUACUGGGCGUAAAGCGCACGUAGGUGGUUUGUUAAGCUAGCUGUGAAAGCCCCGGGCUCAACCUGGGAACUGCAGUUAGAACUGGCAGGCUAGAGUACAGUAGAGGGGUGUGGAAUUUCAGGUGUAGCGGUGAAAUGCGUAGAUAUCUGAAGGAACACCAGUGGCGAAGGCGACACCCUGGACUGAUACUGACGCUGAGGUGCGAAAGCGUGGGGAGCAAACAGGAUUAGAAACCCUAGUAGUCC